GCCACCUUAGCUCAGCUGGUAGAGCACUUGACUUGUAAUCAUGAGGUCUCCGGUUCGAUUCCGGGAGGUGGCU
rnacentral:tRNA from 1 species